AUACUUACCUGGCAGGGGAGACACCAUGUUCAUGAAAGUGGUUUUCCCAAGGUGAGGCUCAUCCAUUACAUUCUGGGUGGGCUGACUCUUGCAAUUUCCCCAAAUGUGGGAAACUCAACUGCAUAAUUUGAAA
rnacentral:snRNA from 1 species